GAUGAACGCUGGCGGCGUGCUUAACACAUGCAAGUCGAACGAUUAAAGCCCCUUCGGGGUGUAUAGAGUGGCGAACGGGUGAGUAACACGUGGGCAAUCUGCCCUGCGCUUCGGGAUAACUCAGGGAAACCUGAGCUAAUACCGGAUACUCCUUGAGGAUCGCAUGGUCUUCUCGGGAAAGAUUUAUUGGCGCAGGAUUGAGCCCGCGGCCCAUUAGCUUGUUGGUAGGGUAACCGGCCUACCAAGGCGACGAUGGGUAGCCGAGCUGAGAGGCUGAUCGGCCACACUGGGACUGAGACACGGCCCAGACUCCUACGGGUGGCUG
rnacentral:rRNA from 1 species